UGGGGAAUAUUGGACAAUGGGCGCAAGCCUGAUCCAGCAAUGCCGCGUGUGUGAAGAAGGCCUUCGGGUUGUAAAGCACUUUCAGUGGGGAAGAAAAGCUUAUGGCUAAUAACUAUAAGUUUUGACGUUACCUACAGAAGAAGCACUGGCUAACUCUGUGCCAGCAGCCGCGGUAAUACAGAGAGUGCAAGCGUUAAUCGGAAUUACUGGGCGUAAAGCGCGCGUAGGUGGAUAAAUAAGUCGAAUGUGAAAGCCCUGGGCUUAACCUAGGAAUUGCAUCCGAUACUGCUUAUCUAGAGUAUGGUAGAGGGAAGUGGAAUUUCCGGUGUAGCGGUGAAAUGCGUAGAUAUCGGAAGGAACACCAGUGGCGAAGGCGGCUUCCUGGACUAAUACUGACACUGAGGUGCGAAAGCGUGGGGAGCAAACAGGAUUAGAUACCCCCGUAGUCC
rnacentral:rRNA from 1 species